UUCAAUUUUAGUAUAUAUGCUGCUGAAGCGAGCAUGAAGACAUACAAUUUUAAGCCGGGGAUCUGUGCAUCUUGGACCCUUCUCAACCAAGUGAUAAACUCCUCCAGGAUAAGAAUCAUGACAUAUAGUUCUUUUCAUUCUCCUUCAGCAUUCAAUAAGAGAUGAAGAAAUAUGUUCCAGAGGAUCUAUUGACUUUAUUUUCCAGUCAAGAUUAAUUUGAAUUGAGAUCUUUCUAACACCAAAGUUGUGUCCACUAUAUGAUACUGCCUCCCACUAUGCUCAGAGUGUAUUGAUAUUCUCAUGCUACAAACAUACAAGACCUCAGACCACUGAUUUCCUGAGCCUGGCCUCAUGGCACGAAUCAGCUUCAGGAAAAUUUCAGCCUUUGCUCUGUCCAAGAAUAAAGCAGGAGCUGUCCAUCUGAAAGCAGACUGUUCAGCAGCACAGAGCCAGGAAAAAUUUUUAUUGAAUAAUAUAAAGCAGAAGGUUUGGAAUGGCUCAAGGAGAAAUUGAACACGAAAUUGAUAAGUGAUGAAAAAUACGUAAGUUACUCCCAAAAUUAUGUCUCCAUUUCUGACCUCAUACCUAUGUUCUACUACCAUAAUUCAGAUUGUCUAUGUGAUAGCUUCACAGAGAUGACCCACUGUUAUUUUAGCCUUCAUAUAUAUUUCUAAGCAGAAGUGAUUUUCUCCCUCCUCAAUUUCAUUCAAAUUAAGUUAUUCUCCCAAUUAUUCUAUUUCUGUCAAGUGGUAUCUCUAUCUUACAGUCUUCCAAAAGGGAAACCUAAUUACAUUUAACAUCUCCUUCUAUUUGCCCUCUCAUCUAAUUUGAUCUAAAAAAUGUUCAGUCCUUCUUUUGAAAUAAUUCUCGUUCACAUUUACAUUUUUUUUUACUCCCACUGCUGUUCUUAUACAGUCAAAUAUAAUCAGAGAGGUAGAUACCAAGCAAGAAAACACAUAUUCAAAUAUGUAAUUAUGACAUGAGAUAAGUACGUAGGGGAAAUAUAAACAGGGAUGUUACAGAGAAUUAUGGGAUGGGGAGGGCCUA